rnacentral:misc_RNA from 1 species
GAUGAAGAACGCAGCGAAAUGCGAUAAGUAGUGUGAAUUGCAGAAUUCAGUGAAUCAUCGAAUCUUUGAACGCACAUUGCGCCCUUUGGUAUUCCUUAGGGCAUGCCUGUUCGAGCGUCAUUUAAACCUUCAAGCUCAGCUUGGUGUUGGGUGACUGUCCGCUUCACCGCGGACUCGCCUCAAAAUUAUUGGCGGCCGGUACAUUGGCUUCGAGCGCAGCAGAAACGCGAACUCGGGCCCGUCGUAUUGGCUCCCAGAAGCUAUCUUCACAAUUUUGACCUCGGAUCAGGUAGGGAUACCCGCUGAACUUAAGCGUAUCAAUAAGCGGAGGA